UUCCGGUUGAUCCUGCCGAAGGCUACUGCUAUUGGAGUUCGAUUAAGCCAUGCGAGUCUAAGGGAUACUUGUAUCCCUGGCAUAAUGCUCAGUAACACGUGGAUAAUCUGCCCUCAGGUGAGGAAUAAACCCGGGAAACUGGGGCUAAUACCUCAUAGACACAGAAAGCUGGAAUGCUUCUGUGUUCAAAGCUCCGGCGCCUGAGGAUGAGUCUGCGGCCUAUCAGGUUGUAGUCAGGGUCAUGACCUGACUAGCCAACGACGGGUACGGGGUGUGAGAGCACUUGCCCGGAGAUGGUUUCUGAGACACGAAACCAGGCCCUACGGGGCGCAGCAGGCGCGAAAACUUCGCAAUGCGGGAAACCGUGACGAGGGAACUCCAAGUGUCUAUGCAUUGCAUAGACUGUUUUUUAGCCUAAAUAGCUAAAAGAGUAAGAGGUGGGCAAGACCGGUGCCAGCCGCCGCGGUAACACCGGCACCUCGAGUGGUAGCCACUAUUAUUGGGCCUAAAGCGUUCGUAGCCGGUUUGGUAAAUUCUUGGGUAAAUCGUACAGCUUAACUGUGCGGAUUCCGGGGACACUACCAGACUUGAGACCGGGAGAGAUCAGAGGUACUUGUAGGGGAGCGGUGAAAUGUUGUAAUCCUACAGGGACCACCAGUGGCGAAGGCGUCUGAUCAUAACGGCUUUGACGGUGAGGAACGAAACCCUGGGGCGCAAACGGGAUUAGAUACCCCGGUAGUCCAGGGCGUAAACGCUGCUGACUUGGUGUUGGAGAUCCUACGAGGGUGUCCAGUGCUGGCGCGAAGGCAUUUAGUCAGCCGCCUGGGGAGUACGGUCGCAAGACUGAAACUUAAAGGAAUUGGCGGGGGAGCACUGCAACGUGUGGAGCGUGCGGUUUAAUUGGAUUCAACGCCGGG
rnacentral:rRNA from 1 species